rnacentral:misc_RNA from 1 species
AUCGUUGCCCCCCCAAACUCCGGUUCGGGCGGGGCGGAAGUUGGCCUCCCGUGCGUGCCUGCGCGCGCGGUUAGCCCAAAAGCGAGUCCUCGGCGACGAGCGCCACGACAAUCGGUGGUUUUUUUACCCUCGUUCCUCGUCGUGCGUGCCCCGUCGCCCGAA